AGAAAGGUGUUUAUACAGUAGUUUCUUCCUGUGCUGUGUUGUGCACGUCUGUUUCAUCAUCUGAGCUAUCAGUUGUGUUUCUUUGAGGCAAAGAUGUAUAGAAUAGCACUGAAAGUCGGAGGUGUCAUAUUUGUUCAACCUGGUGUUAAACGUAAUUUCAAUUCUUGACCAGUGCAUGUAAAGAAAUUGAAAAUAAAACCGACUUGACUUGACUUGUCAUUGGGUCUGAUUUUAAAUGUGCCAUAUAGUUCAAUGUGGGAGCAGGUUCACACACUAAAUGUCAAGCACAAGCAGAUUUUUUUUUUUUUUUUUUUUAACAAUUCUCAGAGCAGAUUAGAGCAGACGUUUCAGGUUGCUGCCAUCAGAGAGUAGUGACUUGACCUUAGUGUCUUUAGUGUGCUCCCACAUUGAAGUCUACUUUUUGGGUCCAUGCACCUACUUAUUUCUAAACAUCUAGAGCGCAACAAUACCCCUGCCUCCUGAUGUGCCAUAUAACCUGUAUCUCUCCAAGUGUGUGUGUGUGUGUGUGUGAGAGAGAGAGAGAGAAAAUGUGUGCACGCAGAUAUAAGAAGUUGGGGUUGAUGAUCCACAUGAUGGUGAUGGACCAGGACAGCUCUGGACCUCCUGACUGGCAGCUCCAUCCUCAACCUCUCUUCCUGCCCUUCACACAUGUGCAGGCAGCCAGUUUUCUGAAAGAUGGUUGAUGUCAGUACCAACAUGUUGUGAUGGAGGCUUCCACCUGAGCUGAACACAGAAACUUGCACACAGUGAUGGAAGCAGUCGUUCCUGUUCAGCAUCGAUAUGCCAGUAAUGGGUUUGAUGAGCCACAGCAUGGUGAUGGGCAAUCAGCAUCAGGACCAGGGCAGCUCACAAGGAGAACCUCCUGCCCUGCCUCGUCAUCCUCAACCUCCCAUCUCCCUGCUCUUCACACAUGUGCAGGCACGGAGCCAGUUUUCAGAGGGAGGGCUGAUGACACCAGCAACUUUUGGUUCUGAACCUGAUCAACCCAGCACCAACCACUGUGCCGCUCCUCCGCUGCCAACUGCACCACAUGGCUCCACCAUCUCAAAAAGGCACAGACACUACUCCACUUCCUGCGAAGGAUGAGAGAAGAGCCGACCGCCCCACAUCGGCACUCACCACCUUCUACAGGGGUGUCAUUGAGAGCAUCCUGACCAGCAGCCUCUCUGUCUGGCAUGGCAGCCGUCAAGCUGAAGACUAGAAGGCAGUACGGAGAGUGUGGUGAGCUCGGCAGAAAAGCUCAUAAGAUCACCCCUACCAGCCAUUCAGGAUCUGUACACUUCACACUGUUCCAAGAGGGCAAUGAACAUCAUAAAGACACAACUCAUCCAGCAUACAGACUGUUCUCCCUCCUACCAUCAGGGAAGCGCUAGCCCGGCAUGCGGUGCCGCACAAGCACACUGGGAAACGGCUUCUUUCCACAAGCCAUCAGUCUCAACGUUCUGAAGAAAACCACAUGAAUAUUCCAAGGACACUGGAGAAUAUUCCAUGAACACUUCUUUCACCAUGCCACUUACACUUUACUCAUUGCACCUUAUAUACAGCAUCUUCACAUCACCUGUAUUAUCUCCUCCUGCCGUGUGUGUGUGUGUGUGUGUGUGUGUGUGUGUGUGUGUCCACUGUGUUUGUGUAUUUAUUGUCCAUCAGUAUGUUACUCUUCUUAUUGCACACUGUUUGUGUCUCUGUGUGACUGUAUUUAUUGAAUGUAUCAGUCUGUAUUUCAUGUCAAUGCAUUAUUUUUAGUUAUUAGUUAAACUGCACAUUGGCGACUGGUCAAACACAAUUUCAAACUUUGUGUUAACCCUCCAUAGAUUUUUGUCAAAAAAUGGAGUCUAAUCUACUGUACUAUUCAGGCUAUCAACAGACCACACAGUUGAGUGCUGUUUUAUGCACUCUGAAUAUGAGGAGAAGGAGGUGACCGUUCACACUUCAUAGUGUAAAAGUAAACAGAAAUACAUUUUCACAUUUCA